GAUGAAGAACGUAGCGAAAUGCGAUAAGUAAUGUGAAUUGCAGAAUUCAGUGAAUCAUCGAAUCUUUGAACGCACCUUGCGCCCUUUGGCUAUUCCGAAGGGCAUGCCUGUUUGAGUAUCAUGAACACCUCAACUCUCAUGGUUCGCCAUGAUGAGCUUGGACUCUGGGGGUCUUGCUGGCCUAUGGUCAGCUCCUCUCAAAUAAAUCAGCUUGCCAGUGUUUGGUGGCAUCACAGGUGUGAUAACUAUCUACGCUUGUGGUUUUCCAUAAGGUAACCUUCAGUGAUGGAGGUUCGCUGGAGCUCAUAAAUGUCCCUCCUCAGCGAGGACAGCUUUUUGAACGUUUGAUCUCAAAUCAGGUAGGACUACCCGCUGAACUUAAGCAUAUCAAUAAGCGGAGGA
rnacentral:misc_RNA from 1 species